GCGUUGGAGUUACCCCACUCAGUUGUCUGCAGUGGGAAAUGUAUAGAAGAAAUGCUGGAGAAGAUAGUAGCAAUGCAGAAGUUAGUAGACUUCGGGCAACAAUUGAAGAUAUGAAGGAUCGCCAUUAGGCAGAGUUGGCGGAGCUGAAGCAGAACCAACAAACUUUGCAGUCUCAGCUUGAGCAUAUUUCAUCUAUGUUGCAGCGAUUUCUCCCUCCUCAAAUUUCUGAUACUUCAACAACUCGUAGAGAUGAUGAUAGUGCUGAAUCCGGUCCCUGAUAUUUUUGAGACAGUUAUCUAAGAAGUUUUAUAUGUAUUUUUCUUAUAUUUUUUAAAAUACAUUGUAAUUCUAAACUUAUUAUGUAAAUUUCAUCAUAUAUGACAAUAUGUAUUUUUUGAAUGAUCUGAAUGUUUGUUUUGAUGUAAAUGUAAUGCAGGUUCAUAUUGCUAUAAUAUGUUUCUUAAUGUGUA